UACGUAGGUGGCAAGCGUUGUCCGGAUUUACUGGGCGUAAAGAGCGCGCAGGCGGUCGUUCAAGUCGCGUGUGAAAGCCCCCGGCUCAACUGGGGAGGGUCACGCGAUACUGAUCGACUGGAAGGCAGGAGAGGGUAGUGGAAUUCCCGGUGUAGUGGUGAAAUGCGUAGAUAUCGGGAGGAACACCAGUGGCGAAGGCGGGGCUCUGGACAGUUCCUGACGCUGAGGCACGAAGGUCAGGGGAGCAAACAGG
rnacentral:rRNA from 1 species